ensembl:ncRNA asRNA:CR44065 antisense RNA:CR44065
CACAAUCACUGCGAGUUCGCUAAACUAUUUAGCAUGAGAAGCCCAUCGAAUCCGCCCACUUAAGCGUACAACUUAAAAUAUUUACACAGUAUCCCAACUGUCCGCACCGUCGAAAAGUCGCUAGUCUUGUGUGAAAUCCCAAUCCAGCUCCACUUUGGCAUUCCUCGUUUCCCCAUAGGUGUGCUCAGAGCCAGAGCAGGCGUUGAUCCCAGGCCUGCGGCUGGGCCAAAUCUCAGAGACCCGUGUGGCUCGUCUGCAGCUGCUCGAUGGAGAUGGAUAGCUGUUCCAGGCGCUGCAUCAGCUGCAGCAUGUUCUCCUGCGCCUUGUUGGUGUUGAACUCGUUGCCGUGCUCCAGCGAAUCCUCCUCGGCGGCAGCCAGUUCGAAAUGCAAUUUGGCCAGGCUCUCCUGCUGCUCGCGAAUCUUGGUCAUCUGGUCCAUUGUGCAGCCGGAGCCUGCUGGGAAAAAGGCAAAGGAUUGGCAAACCUUAAAGGUGACAAGUUGCAGACUGCACUAACCGAAUGCCCUCAGCUUGCCGGAGUGAAAGUCGUCCAGCAGUCCGAGGAGAGCUCUUUCCAUGUGCUUAACAUCGGGAACUUCGGAGACAAAGGAAUGAUGUUUUAUUGGACGAUCGUCGAACUUAUCGCUGUGGGCACUGGCGUUUGGCAUCGACGCUGUGGGAUUCUUGCGGCGCUGCAAUCGCGGUGUGUUCUGAUUGCUAUUGCUGUGCUGAUUGUUAUUGUUGGGUUUCGUGCUAUCGUUGUUGUUGUUCUUGGGGGUGUUGUGAUUGUCUGUGGCUGUGGGAUCAGGUGCUAGCCACUCGCUGCUCACCAAGGUGAUGGCGUUCAGGCUGUUGGCACUGUUGGUGGUGGGUUCCAACUCAUCACGAUCUGGUCUCGACAUGAGAUGGUCAACAAAUCAAGUGCGGGAAUAUGGAAGUACAAAUAAUAAAAUAAAAACGAAACGAGGAAAUCAUAAGUAAGAGUUACAUCAAAUGAACUAAAACGGUGCACAAUUGUAAGAUAAGAACAAAUUUAAACUAAAUAAAGGUAUAUUUUGCUAUACAACUACUAUGGUUAUAAGU